rnacentral:rRNA from 1 species
GACGAACGCUGGCGGCGUGCUUAACACAUGCAAGUCGAACGGAAAGGCCCUGCUUUUGUGGGGUGCUCGAGUGGCGAACGGGUGAGUAACACGUGAGUAACCUGCCCUUGACUUUGGGAUAACUUCAGGAAACUGGGGCUAAUACCGGAUAGGAGCUCCUGCUGCAUGGUGGGGGUUGGAAAGUUUCGGCAGUUGGGGAUGGACUCGCGGCUUAUCAGCUUGUUGGUGGGGUAGUGGCUUACCAAGGCUUUGACGGGUAGCCGGCCUGAGAGGGUGACCGGCCACAUUGGGACUGAGAUACGGCCCAGACUCCUACGGGAGGCAGCAGUGGGGAAUAUUGCACAAUGGGCGGAAGCCUGAUGCAGCAACGCCGCGUGCGGGAUGAAGGCCUUCGGGUUGUAAACCGCUUUCGCCUGUGACGAAGCGUGAGUGACGGUAAUGGGUAAAGAAGCACCGGCUAACUACGUG